rnacentral:lncRNA from 1 species
UAGUAUUGGUGCUGCUUUAGUAUCAAAACGAGACUUAACACUGCAAAACUGAGGUUCAAGACAGAAGAAGCUUUAGAGAAGGAAGAUAAGACAAACCAGAAGACUCCAUGGAAUGGGAAUGGCAGAGCAUGUGAGAUGAAGAGACCUGGACAUUAAGAUACCAACAUCUAACAUUAGGACAACUCUUUUGGGACCAGUGAUGGUUUUUGAUUUUGGAGAAUAAACAAUCAAAACAUCAACAUCACAUUCUAACCAGAAACCAAACAAGUUUCUCUCCAACUUAUCUUAGUUGUCUAGAGAACUAAAUAAUAUCUUACAAGAUAAGACGAGAUCGGCAAUUUGUUUGAGACUAAGAGAGUCUGGGGUUUGCUGAGUUUGUUCACUAAUUAUCCGGGGCUUAUUGCAUUUUACAAGUUUACAAACUAAAGGGAUUAAAAACGACUAACCUCGGCAAUGUUUUCAUAAGCUGUCCUCUGGUUCAGUGGCGGAGCCAGUGUGCUAUGAG